AAAGGCAGUGAUGACUCGGAAAUAUUCAAGCUCAACAGACCGGAAUUAGGCGUUUCUUACCGAGAUUCGUUUCUGUGUCGAUACUCCCGCUGAACUGAGCCUUC
rfam:Brassica oleracea var. oleracea cultivar TO1000 chromosome C7, whole genome shotgun sequence